CUUUGUAUCAUCAAACAAACUUUCUUUUUAAUGACAGCCAAGCUUCUCAUGACCUAGCAUUUCCAUUCAUGUAUUAAUUCCUGAUUGGAUGAAGAAGGCUUGUUAGAACAGCCUGUGUUGAUAACGGCAUUAGAAAUUGCUUCAAACAAGAAAAUACAGAUACAAAGAAUGCUGCUAGCCUAUUUAUACCACCAUACUGUCUAAUGCAGUGCAACUGAACAGUUACAUGAUACGAAGCUAUCAGCCUCCUAAGCUAAGGGUAAUUUUGGAUGAGGAGUAUGUGCAGGAUACAGUUGUUUUGUCUUGAUUUAAUGCAGUAUUACAAUCCCAUUGAAAAUCUGUAAGUAAACAGUGCAAGGGCUCAAGCUCUGAGUAGUUUGUCUUGUCUACUUUACUGAGAAAUGUUAUACUUCUUCCAUUUCAAAACCCAUCAAAGAAGGUACUUAGCCUGGACCUUAGAAGCUACUAGAGCAUCCUAAUCUCAAAAAAAGAUUGUGCCUCAGAGCCUCUUAAAAGAUGUUUGAAAUUGAUGUGCUGCAAUCUGUAGGAAGUGAUGCGAACAUGGACGCUUCCUAAAUACUGGGCUUCCUGGCAGGGGACACAGAGAUCACGAGGAAGCUAAAUGAAUUUUCAGUCAACAGUUCCAUCAUGUUGUCUUAAUGAUAGAAAUCAUUUUUUAAAAGCCUUGUGAAUUUGCAAUGUGUCUUCAGGUAUAUAUUAGCUCGCCAAUCAGUCCUAAUGUCCUGUCUGUCUAAAUUGUUGGAAGAUUGUCCAUGAAUUUCCAUUGAGAACAUUAUUAUUCAGAGCAGAUUUCAGGACUUUAAUACUUGCAUCCUUUAUCUAGUAUGGAAAUGCCAAUAUCUAUUGUUAAAAGUUUGAUUUCUUUUUUGUCCAUGGGCAACUUACAUUUUAUACAAUGGUGGUAAUUCAUUUUAAAGCCUUGCCUGUAAGUACAUGGAAAAGGUAUCUUUGUAAUUCAUCUUGGGCACACUUAGUUAUGUUUGGUGUUAUCCUGGGAGUAAGAGAGAGUGAUUCAGCCCAUUAAUGCAGGUGAGAAUGUUUGCAGACUUCAGAUGCAUGAAUAGCUAUGAAAUUUCACAUAGUCUAAGAAAGAAGGCUGAUUCAUACAAGCAUGUGCAUUACAUGAUUUCUUCUCAUACAUGAUGACUUGCUGAAUGUGUGAACUGAUUCCAGUGAAACGUAUUUGUGAUAACAUUCAAUGAUGGUCCAGUCAAUGUUAAAUUUUCAGACAAGUUCUAAAUUAAGUUGAUGUUAAAUUUUCAGACAAGCUCUAAAUCCUCUCAUCUUAAAAUAAGUUUUAUUUAAUUAUGUUGUCUGAAAGGCAGCUAGCUAUUCUCUUAAAUCUUUGCAUGAUAUUGACUUUUUUAAAAAGUGCUCUGCUAUCACUAACAAUUUUUGCUGGCCACACAUUCUUUCCAAUUAAAUGUGUAAAAAUUCUAAGCCAGGGCUUAGACUGAGAACUAGCUGUUCAAAAAAUCAGGCUUGUGCUUUGCUUUGAAAGUGCUUCUGAAGCAGAUGGAUCAGGUGUUUUUCUUCUUUCUGUUCCAUAAUGGCAUUUAUAAUACACAAUCCCCUGUGAAUGUUAUCAUGCUGUAUUCUGCGUGUAAUUUUUAAACAUACAAGAUAAUGAUAUAUUGAACAAACAACAGCAGGUGGUGCUAGAAGGCAUACGUUUCAUGUCUUCUAGCAAAAAAAAAGUGUAAUCCAUUUUUAGCCACAGCUAUGUGGUUAAUUAUAAUAUAGCUAUUUUUUUAUAAUGGAAGGACUCUUUAUCUGUUUUGUGUGCUAAUAUUUUCACCAUAUCCAGUUUUUGGUGUGCUGAUAUUUUUAUCAUAUCCAAUCUUCCACUGUAUGUAUAUGUAUUAAGAUAAAGCUAUACAAUAUAAUGCCUUGUGUCAAUUAUAUUCUGUAGAUACUGCUGUAUAAAUAAAGUUUUUUCCCCAGUACAUGGGUAUACAUUAUGUAUAUAUUGGACUUUGAAAUAAACAACAUGAAUAAAAGUA